AUUGAACGCUGGCGGCAGGCCUAACACAUGCAAGUCGAACGAGUGGCGGACGGGUGAGUAAUGUCUGGGAAACUGCCCGAUGGCGGGGGAUAACUACUGGAAACGGUAGCUAAUACCGCAUACCAUCGGAUGUGCCCAGAUGGGAUAAGCUAGUAGGUGGGGUAAAGGCGCACCUAGGCGACGAUCCCUAGCUGGUCUUAGAGGAUGACCAGCCACACUGGAACGGAGACACGGUCCAGACGCCUACGGGAGGCAGCAGUGGGGAAUAGUGCACAAGGGGCGCAAGCCUGAUGCAGCCAUGCCGCGUGUAUGAAGAAGGCCUUCGGGUUGGAAAGUACUUUCAGCGGGGAGGCGUUACCCGCAGAAAAGGCACCGGCUGACUCCGUGCCAGCCGCCGCGGUAAUUC
rnacentral:rRNA from 1 species